GAUGAACGCUGGCGGCGUGCCUAAUACAUGCAAGUCGAGCGAACGGACGAGAAGCUUGCUUCUCUGAUGUUAGCGGCGGACGGGUGAGUAACACGUGGAUAACCUACCUAUAAGACUGGGAUAACUUCGGGAAACCGGAGCUAAUACCGGAUAAUAUUUUGAACCGCAUGGUUCAAUAGUGAAAGACGGUUUUGCUGUCACUUAUAGAUGGAUCCGCGCUGCAUUAGCUAGUUGGUAAGGUAACGGCUUACCAAGGCAACGAUGCCUAGCCGACCUGAGAGGGUGGUCGGGCACGCUGCAUCUUGCAGACGGUCCAAAGUCUUACGGGUGGCAGCAGUAGGGAAUCUUGCACAUUGGGCGAAAGCCUGACGGAGCAACGCCGCGUGAGUUAUAAUGCUCUUCGGUUCGUAAUAUGCGGUUAUUAGCUAAAGACAUAGUUGUACCUAACUGUGCACAUCGUGACGGUACCCAAUCAGAGAGCCACGGCUAACUACGUA
rnacentral:rRNA from 1 species